GGCAGCAAUCAGUGAGUAGAUAGGGACAGGGAUAAGCCAACAACUCAAUUAAUCCAAACUCUUGCGGGAAUUGGCAAAUCAGGACUUCAGAAGCUAUCAGCAUCAGCUGAAAGGAUAUUUUCAAAGUUGAAGCUAUUGAGUAAUAAUCUGAGGUUCAUAAUGUCUCAAGAAAGGUUAAAUAGUUUGACAAUUUUAUGCAUCGAGAAGAAAUUAUUGGAUAAAAUCUUGAUACUGUGGUCACCGACUUCAUAUCUAAAAAUGUUAGAAAAAACUUUUGAGGUAAUAUAUAGAUUGUUUGAUUUCAAUAUUCUUCAUACAAUUUAAA